UACGGGGGGGGCAAGCGUUGUCCGGAUUUAUUGGGCGUAAAGAGCGUGUAGGCGGCUAAAUAGGUCCGUUGUGAAAACUCGAGGCUCAACCUCGAGAUGCCGAUGGAAACCAUUUGGCUAGAGUCCGGAAGAGGAGAGUGGAAUUCCUGGUGUAGCGGUGAAAUGCGCAGAUAUCAGGAAGAACACCUAUGGCGAAGGCAGCUCUCUGGGACGGUACUGACGCUGAGACGCGAAAGCGUGGGGAGCGAACAGG
rnacentral:rRNA from 1 species